AGAAAAAUUAGGUGGGUGCCUACGGGCCUCAGCCGAGCCCGGGGCAGCCCUGCGCUCGCGGAGGCGUGGCCGGCGCGCAGGGAUGGGGGUCACGGUGGACGUGCACCAGGUGUACAAGUACCCCGUCGAGCAGGUGGUCACCAGCUUUCUCCGAAAGUACCUGAACCCCAUGGAUGAAAAUGUCAUCUCUGUAAAAAUCACGGAGGAAAAAAGAGAUGAAUCAACAGGGAUCAUCUACUGAAAGAGGAUUGCAAUCUGUCAGAAUGCGGUUCCAGAAAUUUUAAGGAAGGUGAGCAUUUUGAAAGUACCUUAUAUCCAAUUAGAAGAGGAGUCAUGGCUCAAUCCUUGGGAAAGAAACAUGGUUAUACGGAGUCACUGCCUUACAUGGACACAGUGUGCAUCCAUAAGACAGAGUCUGUCUUCCGGGAAAGUAUGGAAAACCCAAAUUGGACAGAGUUCAUUCAAAGAGGCAGAAUUUCAAUCACAGGAGCUGGAUUUCUCAACUGCAUUCUAGAAACUUUUGCCAGCACAUUCUUAAGACAGGGAGCCCAGGAGGUAAUUAGAAUUAUGGAGAUGCUGCUAAAGGAACAGCGUGGUGCCCCCUUCGCAGAAUAAAGCAUCAUCAGAGAGCUGUAUCGGUGUCUACUUUUUUUUGUUGUUUUUUUUGGGUGGGGAAUCACUUCUUGGCCACAACACAUCAGACACAGUUUCUGGAAUACAGGUUUGAGGAUACAGUGUCGGCAGCUUCAAGAAGAGGAGACCUUCUUGCCAGUACAUAAUAUGAUACCCUCCUCUGGGAGCCUGCUUCGAAUAGUGGGACUCAGGGAGUUGAGACCUUCUUGCUGGAUUUUUUAUGACACAAUCUGUUUACAAUUUUACAAAUAAAGGAAAAAACCCGUGCAAGAUGAUGUGUGCCCUUCCUCAGGGUGUUCUGCUGAUUGUCUGGUUAUGCUGUCAGGGCAGCUAAGGACAGGAUAAAGGCCUGGAGAGGGUGCUUGUGCCCUUAUGUUAUCAGCACUGUUGUUCAUAAGAUUUGUGAGGGGAUUCUGGAACCAAUAAGGGUGUUGAAACUAGUACCUGAUUCAUGAGUGGACUGGAACAAACAGGAAAGUACCAGACCAACGUUGGAGCUAAGCUUUAUAGCAAUGUUUAAGAUUCUCAGAAAUCAGGAGAUUUUUAUCUCUAUCCAUAAGUAAUUUGUCACCGCCAUUAGUAUAGCUUUUAUAAUGUAACAUGUAAACUGCGAUUUGGUCCUCUG